GACGAACGCUGGCGGCGUGCUUAACACAUGCAAGUCGAACGGAAAGGCCCUGCUUUUGUGGGGUGCUCGAGUGGCGAACGGGUGAGUAACACGUGAGUAACCUGCCCUUGACUUUGGGAUAACUUCAGGAAACUGGGGCUAAUACCGGAUAGGAGCUCCUGCUGCAUGGUGGGGGUUGGAAAGUUUCGGCGGUUGGGGAUGGACUCGCGGCUUAUCAGCUUGUUGGUGGGGUAGUGGCUUACCAAGGCUUUGACGGGUAGCCGGCCUGAGAGGGUGACCGGCGACAGUGGGAUUGAGACCAGCCCCCGACGCUGAGGGGAGGGAGGAGUGGGGAGUAGUGCACGAGGGGAGGAGUCGUGAUGCAGUAACGCGGCGCGGGGGAGGGCGGUCUUGUGGGUGAAACCCUUUUGCGGCUGUGACGAAGGGUGAGGGAUGGUAAUGGGAAAAGAAACACCGGCUAACUACGUGCGAGGCGCGGCGUUCAUGACGAAGAGAACACGUCUGAAC
rnacentral:rRNA from 1 species